rnacentral:rRNA from 1 species
GGAGNGUANCAUGCAAGUCGAGCGGUAACAGAAAGUAGCUUGCUANUUUGCUGACGAGCGGCGGACGGGUGAGUAAUGCUUGGGAACAUGCCUUGAGGUGGGGGACAACAGUUGGAAACGACUGCUAAUACCGCAUAAUGUCUACGGACCAAAGGGGGCUUCGGCUCUCGCCUUUAGAUUGGCCCAAGUGGGAUUANCUAGUUGGUGAGGUAAUGGCUCACCAANGCGACGAUCCCUAGCUGGUUUGAGAGGAUNAUCACC